GCGGGUGUCGUAUAACGGCUAUUACAUCGCCCUUCCAAGGCGAAGACGGCAGUUCAAUUCUGCUCACCCGCUCCA
rnacentral:tRNA from 1 species